rnacentral:lncRNA from 1 species
CGAGAUCGUGACCUGGCUGAAGUCGGACGCUUAACCGACUGCGCCACCCAGGCACCCCGAGAAAGCCUUUUCAAAUGGAAAUUUAAAUAUGACAUAGAAACCAUGGGCUUGUAGAAAAAGCAUUUAACAUGAAAGUUAGGAUUUCUGUAUUUGUGACUUUGGAUUCAAUAAAGCAGGUGGUUUUAAGCAUUUGACCUCAUUUCAAGUGGAAACAGUAUUUGUCCUAACUCUAGUUAUUCUAGCCUGUCAUGUGUCUAGCCUAAUUUCAAACUAAUUCAACCUCCACCGUAUAUCCAUAAAGUUCAUAAAUGUAUAGUAAGUGUGAAGUGUAUACUGAAUUAAGUUUUUAGUAUAGAAUGAAGUGAAUGUCCUAGAAAAGAUAUACUAUAUAACCAUAAACCAACCUUAGGAAAUAAAUCACAUGCUUCAUAAUGAAAACCGUCCUAAACUUUUUUCUGCCUAAAUUUUCUGCCUUAUUUAAAAAUUUUUUUUAUUUACUAUACUGUUUAAUACUUAUAUUAUGUAUCUAUUUGUAAAUAUGUUAUGUUGUGAUAAUAGGAUGUGAUUUCAAAAUUAUUGCUGUUUUAUUUAAAAUAAGUAACUCUCAAACAUUAAAAUAUAAUAGCAGUAAAACUUCUGAUGCUUAUUAAACUCUUAAGGGAAAAGAGAUUUCAAGCAAUUACCAAUAAUUUGUGUUAUUUUAGUUAGGCUGCAUUUUACUACUUUAGGAAUAAAUGUUAUUUUUUCUUUAGGGUACUUUUUUAUGAUUUAAAUGUUGACAAUUAGACAAAUAUUUGCAAUAUAUUAAAAGUUGUAUUAUAAGAAAGAAGAAAGAAAAUUAUAAUAAAAGUAGAUAGAUGAUAUAUUUUUUAACACAUAUCCAUGAACCCAAUACUAAAUUCUUUAACAUUUAAAAAUUAUUUCUAGAGUAAGAAAUGUUGCCACAGAGAGAAAUCUAAUAAUACUGUUACAUUUUGCUUAUAAAAAAUGGGCAUUUGGUGAAUUUAAUGUUAAUAUGAGCCCAGUACAUCACCAUCAGGCAAAAAGAAAUACGGUAUUUUUCUGAGGAGAUAAAUAUUAAGCAUUGUAUUGAUUUUUUGCACACUGACUGAAACUUUUCUGAUGAUUCAGUUCAGCUGAACUGUGUUGGGGGUGGGAAGGCACGUACAAAAUGAGAAAGAGAGGGAGGAAAAGUAAUGGUAACUAACAAUUGCUGUCAUUUAUUGAGCACCUACAGUGUUCAGGGCAUUAUGUGGACUGAUUUAUAAAUAUCGUCUCAUUUGAUCCUCAUAUUUGUAUGGGGCAGAUACUGAUUUCUCUUUAACCGCUGGAGAAGCUAAAAUCAUGCAGACCAGGCAAGUCGCCCAAAGUCCACAUCGUCACUGAAGAACAUUGAUUGGCCUUACUCCCAAACCUGUGAGUUUUUAAUUGAUACUCUGCCUCACUGUGAAAGUUUUUCAUUAAGAGAAGUAAAAUAUGGAGAGCUGGUCAUCUGUCUUUACUGUGCAUUAACCAGAACAUUCAUGGCAUAUUAUUGUUUGUAUUGGAUUUUGUAUUGUAAUAGUCAUUUUUUAAAAUGCUAGCAGCUGUUUAAAAGAGCAUGAACAGAUAGUUAUGUUGUAAGAGAAAUGGCUAAAAGAUUAGAGACAAUGUUUAACUUGGAGAAUUAGAGAUUCUACAACUUGAUAGGCUUUCAUAAUUGAAGAAUAAUUAUUUGGAAGAAGGAUUGGACUAGUCUUCAUUCCCUGAAGUGUAUAUCAAGGGCCAACAGAUUUCAACUGAUAAAAAAAUGUACAUUUUCUGUUUAGUCUCCGUGGGGAAUGGAUCCAGAAAAAAGUAAGUUUCCCCUCUCGUUGGAGGCAAGAUUUCUAUUUAUCAGGAAUGCUUCAGAAGUGAUUGAGAUAGUAAGUAGAGUAAAAUGUUUUUAAGAUGCUUCAUAACCCGGUGAUUUGAAAUUCAUGUUUGUUACAACUGACCUUUUUUUCAUGAACUGAUAAGUCGUGGUGAAGUAUUUCUGGUGACUUGCAUGCUGUCUCUAAUAUAUUUUAAAUUUCUGAACAAAAAUUGUACUUCUAAUUCUGUUACCUUGUCUUAGAAAUAAAUUUGAGAUACACAAUUUAGUAGAGGUAUUUUUAUCUGUAAUGUUUAAGAGUACUGCUAAUAUAGUAUUAAAUUUGUUUUCUAUUUUUUUAAAUCCCCUUUACAUUCGUGAAGAGAAUGUGCUUCUAUUUGAAAAGGAUGUUCCUCUUAAUGAUAAAUAGGGCAAGCACUAUCUAUAAAAUGUUUUUAAAUGCAGUAUCCACUAGGUGGUGAUAUUGUACUACAUUUCUGAGUGUUCUAGUAAUUAAACUUUCUUAAUAGGCUGAAUUUACUUUUCUUAUAGUUUUAAGUUUUGAACUGCAAAGUAAUUUAUAGUUAUCCAUGUUUAUUUAUUAUGUUGUUCAGGAUAUUUUCUAAAUUCUGUGAAGAUAAAGUAAAUGUAAAAAACAAUCAUUUUUGUGUUUUGUAAUCCUGUAUUAAGUGAUUUAGUCUAACAUAUCUUCCUGUAUGACAUUUUUUACUUCAUAUGGCAUAGACAAGAUCUUUUCCCAUAUCAGUGAAGGAUGAUGGUGAAAAAUUUGGAAACUCCUCUAUUUCAUUGUAUUGGCCAGCGUUAUAAGUGCUUUACCCGCAUUAUUUAUGCCUCAUAACAACCCUGUGAGAUCAGUACUGUUUUUAAUAUCUCCAAUCUAUACAUGAAGAAACUGAGUGUAGGGAGAUUAAAUAUUUUUCCCAAGAUUGCAAAAUAACUGGCUGAGCAGGGAUUCACAUCUAGGCAGGGUGACUCCAGAAUCCACAUUAACUGCUAUCAACUGAUUGGGGGAAGGGAGAAGACAUGGAUUCUACCCUCAAAUUCAUAGCAUUUCAGAAAGAAAAAUAAACCUGAGGAGUGUAGUUAUACUCCCUGAUUUUAUAAGUCAGGAUUGUGAGGCCCCCACUAAUUUGGCUAUCCCAGAGGCACAUAAUCUUCCAUCUGCCAUAUUACCUUCCAUUUUCUGGAGGGAAAAAACAAACCAAAAAACCCUCAGGAUUGGAGUCUUAGCCAUAGUUACACUGAAAUAAAGACCUUUGUUUCAAUUAGAUAAUUCCAGCUACCAAAGGCAGGAGCAUAGUUGUUUGAAAAUUAUUACUUAGUUUCUCUGAAGAGACUUUUAUUUGGAAGCAAAUUGUUAGUCAAACAUGAUAUACUUUGGGAAUUUUAAAAAAAUUUUGACUGGAAAACUUAAUCUUUAAAAAAAUUUAUAAAUAUAUGUUGUAUAUAGAUGCUUUUAAGUUUUAUAUUUUGUUAGAUAACUGUUCUGUAAAAUUAUAUUGUGGUUUAUGUCAUUUAAAACUGAUUUUUAAGUAAAUCUAUUUCUAAGAAUAAAAUACUUCUGUUUUCCGUUUUAAAAAGUUUGUUCAGAUAUCAUGGUUUC